UACAGGGGGUGCAAACGUUGCUCGGAAUCAUUGGGCGUAAAGCGCACGUAGGCGGUUCGUUAUGUCGGAUGUGAAAGCCCUUGGCUUAACCGAGGAAGUGCAUCCGAAACUGGCGAGCUAGAGUACGAAAGAGGAUCGCGGAAUUCCCGGUGUAGAGGUGAAAUUCGUAGAUAUUCGCAGGAACACCAGUGGCGAAGGCGGCUUACUGGUCCAUAACUGACGCUGAGGUGCGAAAGCGUGGGGAGCAAACAGGG
rnacentral:rRNA from 1 species